rnacentral:rRNA from 1 species
GUGAGGAAUUUUCCGCAAUGGGCGAAAGCCUGACGGAGCAAUGCCGCGUGAAGGAUGAAGGCCUAUGGGUUGUAAACUUCUUUUCUUAGAGAAGAAUAUUGACGGUAUCUGAGGAAUAAGCAUCGGCUAACUUCGUGCCAGCAGCCGCGGUAAUACGAAGGUCCCAAGCGUUGUUCGGAAUCACUGGGCGUAAAGGGUGCGUAGGCGGCGUGGUAAGUCAGAUGUGAAAUCCCGGGGCUCAACCUCGGAACUGCAUCCGAUACUGCCAUGCUUGAGGGCUGGAGAGGUAACUGGAAUUCUCGGUGUAGCAGUGAAAUGCGUGGAUAUCGAGAGGAACACUCGUGGCGAAGGCGAGUUACUGGACAGCAUCUGACGCUGAGGCACGAAGGCCAGGGGAGCGAAAGGGAUUAGAAACCCCAGUAGUCC